AAGACGCCGUUGCUAUGCGACGAUGCUACAACAAUCCCAUGAACUGCUAGGCAUAAGUAAGCAUUACUUAAGCUAGCAUCUCAUAUUUCAGGGGCAUCUUCCGGUGACUUUCUGUUCAUCAGUCCAGCUAAUUGGACAUUAUUGCAUUGUUUAUAUUACAGCCAUGCCUCUUCCAGACACAUUCUACUGUGCCCAGCAAAUCAACAUCCCUCCCGAGCUGCCAGACAUCCUUAAAGACUUUACUAAGGCAGCCAUCCGAACACAGCCCAAGGAUUUGUUGCAGUGGUCUGCGGCAUACUUCAGUGCUCUGUCUAAAGGAGAGUGUCUGCCUGUUAAGGACAGGCUGGAAUUAAAUGUUGCCACCCAGAAGACGGACACUGGGCUGACUCCAGGUCUUCUGAAGAUCCUCUACAAACAGCUGUCGCCCAAGAAAACCUGUAGCAAAGAGGAACUGCAGGCAAAGUGGAAGGGCCUGUGUCUACCUGUGGCUCAGCUGGAGACCCUGCUGUCGCUGGGCAGUUUUGGCUCAGAUAUCGACUGGAUGGAGUUUUUUGCCCUGGGCUGCAGCGCUCUUGGAGGGACUCUUAUCAGUUCGCUUAAGUUUGCCUGCGAGAUCCUAACAGAGGAUGAGACGGGUGGUGCCGCGAGGAUCCCGUUCGACACCUUUGUCAGGCUCUACACUUACCUGGCUCAGCUAGACGGGGACGUGCCACAGGAACGCAUUGACAACUUCCUCAGCAGUCUGCAGCCACAAGUCAACAAGCAGAACGGCAUGAUUCAGGUUUCCAACUUCUACCCCAGCAGGAAGGGAGGGAAGCAGAGGCAGAAAGCAGUGGAAGAAAGAAGUUAGAAAUAGGAAUAAGGAAAUGAUGGCGCCCAAUUAAUAAAUGGAGCCGCUAACGCUUCGUCAAGCACAGCUGUUUUUCCAAAAAGAAAUUGGUCCCAUUAAUUGUUGGCAUCAGCCACUGUGGCCGAUUAUUCAUCAGUGUCCGGCUGAAUCAAGCCGCUAUUAUGAGUCGGGUUGGAUUCUUUUAAUGAGCUGCAAUAGAAGCACAAAGCUGCCAUGCUCAAACUGUCAGGUAGGGCGUGUGUGUAUGCUUUUUAUUUCCCGUUCCCGUAUGACUCGGCUAGUGAAGUUCAUUUAUCAUGCACGCUGCCUAUCAGCUUGCAGCCUCGCCACAUUUGGCCUCUCUGCUCGCGUCUGCAUUUCACCCAGCAGACCAAAAAAAAGGAAGUCAAGUAGAUAAGCGCCUACGCCACGGGAGUGUGAUUUUCAGCUUGCGUUAGAGACUUGUGUUAUAUUCACUCCUCUGUGCAGUACUGUAAACAAACACAGGCACAUUUCAACACCAGUGACAGUGACAGUGUGAAAGGUCCAGAGGUCCAGAGAUACAGUAUGACUGUUAUUAGCAUAUUUGCCUCUCAUACAAACACACACAAAACUGCUACGUUGGAAGUAUUUCAACAGACAGCACAACAAACGGGAUCAGAGAAAAUUCCGUUUUCAGACAUUUUUGGCAUUUGGUCACAGGGGUGGACGAUGCACGCACACACAGACACUGUAGCUUACCCCUUCCAGGAUUGCAACUGUGGUCAAGUCAAAGAAGACUGGAAGACAGAUAGAGCCCCCGCUAACUCGAUAACUGCAGGCUCUCCGCCCAUAUGACACAGCACCGAAAGAAUUUUGUCAGGGCUUCCAGCAGUGAUCUUUUUGUGCAACGCCCACGUUAGAACUGAGUAAAUGAGCGUGCUGAAAAUAACUCAGUAUUAACUGUAAUCUGCUCAUAAUGCUUUUCUAUUUGGAAAGAUUCCUAUUUGUAUUGAUAGAUUUUAUGUCUGGGUGAAGUCUGAAGCAGAGAUAACUCUGGUAUCAAAGAUUUAGCACACGAUGCAGGCAGCGCAUAAUUUGUCUUCAUUAAAUAACACGACAUUCAGAAGCCAUGCAUGAGGAUGUGGCUCGCCCAGCUGGAAUUACAAGGUUAAAUAGGACGGGAUUUUAAGCUGUACUUAUAUUGUAUUAAAAGAGGUAUAUAAAUUUUACAAGUAGAAAACAUAAACACUGAUUUGAACUUGGUUUCCUGUGGAUCUUUUUUUCCACUACAGGGGUUUUUUCCAGGAACCGAUGAACCUCUCUUGAUAAGAAAAUCAGGAAGUUUUUGGUUCUGUGCAGGGUUUUCUCAUAUACAGGAAUUUGCGGCAACCCCACACGUUUUAUCCGAAGCCAGAGGAAAUAUAACAGUUCCUUUUUUAACUACUUAUUAGGGCUUUAUUCACCAUUACAUAGUGGGCAUUAUUGUGUAUCAGUUGCACAGAAAUAAUAAAAAACCCAUUGAUUUUUUCAAAAUACAGACGAGCCUUUACUAAUCAUUUUUUAUAAGGAUUAUAAAAACGCCCCAUUCUGAAACCGGAAAAACCCUGCGGGGCUAUAUAUGUAGUUUUUUUCUUUUCUCAAAAAAGUACAUGUUUGUGAGCUGGUACUUUCCGGUGAUCUAGGAAUUACCCUUAAUGCUGUUACUGCUUACAAUAAAACACUGUGUUGAAAGCUUGUGUAUUUAUUCAGUCUGUAAGCAAGCAUUAUUGCUAGCAUGAGUUUUAGGGGCUUGUAUUUGGAAGCUUUUUGAUCUAGUGAAUUAUUUUGUCGUUGUUGUUAAUUGGAUUUAGAUACUGUGGCUAAUGUGGCUACAGUAAAACAGCAAAGAAGCAAAAACAUGUCUUUCACCCUGUGCACAUAAUUCUUUAUGUUUUAAAAAAAUCCAAGCCUCCCAACAGCAAAUUACAAAGAGCAGCCCCCUGUUGACUUAAAUCAAACUAAACCCGGCAAAGCUAUCAAACUGCAUGUGUUCUGAGACACAACGUGUUCUUGUUCUUUAGAAAAAUGUCUGUCUUGUCAGUCACACCUGUCUUGGUUGACAGUUCUAGUAAAGUAAAAAUACAAUCCACCAAGAAUGCUGUGGCCUCAACACAGAGAAGUAUUACUGUCCUCCUCCUCCUUAUCAUCAUUAGUUUAUUUAUUUAAAACAUGUUGAGGGAUAGCCAUAGAGGUGCUGAGGUACACAGUAAGGUGCAGAAGUAAAUUUAUAGAGCAGCAAAAGAAGAAUAGAUCGUAAAUCACUGUAUAUGUAAAUACCUACUGUUUGAUUGCGAGACAUUAUAUGCUCCUCACAAAGCAUUCCUUGGAUAUCCUCAAAUUUCUCUCCAAUAAAAACUACUUUUUGGGGGCAUCUUGCACUAUAAUAGUCAGGCUUACAGUUACAGAUGCUGUGUGCCCCCUUUGUUUUAGGAUGUUAGAACAUGGAAAAACAUGAUGUAAUUGCAAAGAUGUCAGUGGUUUAGGAAUCUCAGCUUUAGGGUGGACCUUGUUGCGCAGCCUUUACUCUUUCUCCAACUUUUGCUCACAACAUCACAUCUCCAGGGACGUGACAAAUGUUGCAGGGCAGUGCGAAGGAAAAAAAAGGCAGGAGAAGAGAGAGUGGACACAAAGGCUUCAUUCUACAGUGACUCCGUUGUGUAAGAGAUUUCGGGGGAACUGCAACAUGGGAUGAUAAAGCCACUGGACUUUAUCUACUGGGACGAUGUGGCUUCAGCUCCAUAACAAACCAUGCACACCGAAGCUGGAGGUUUAACAGUGGAGCUGGAGUCGAAUCCUGAAAGGAUUGCGCAUCAUGUGCUGAUAUCUCAAAAAUAAGGAAAUGAUCUGGAAAUACUGUCUAUGUUGCAAAUGCUAAAAACAGAAAUAUGGCUAAACUGUGAUAUCACCCUCACUUCUCUCGUACGUCUGGGGUAUACGCUCACUGCCAUCUUUAAGAUGGGUUUGACAAGCACCUGUCAAUCAAGCAAAGGCUGCAAAGCAUUUUCUCUUUGAGCCUCAUUAUCUUCCUAACGGAACAGUGAUCUUAAAAUCCCCACUGUGACACAUAUCAGCAGGUGUGAAUUUAAUUACUGAGACUUAAACUCGUUAAAAAAAAAAUACUGUAAUUACUUUUUGCAUUUUGAGAGAGGACCUCGGGGUGAGGGGUGGGGGUGCUUCAUCAGAUUCUGGGAUUUAUUGCAGCCAUUAUCAUGCAGCCGUUGGAGGACCAGCAUUUUAUACAGCUUUAUAAGUCCCUUGUACAGUAGCAUUACCUACGUGAUUAUGCACAACAGUCAUUAGUUGCUCUGCAAGACGACCAAAAAGAAAGUACGCCCUUUUCACUUUGAAGAUUUUAUAUAUCAGGACUUCUUAAAAAUUAUCUAGUCCUUAACAGGUUCUAAAAUUAUUUAAUGAGACAAAUGAUGAGCAACAUCAUGUGAAAUAUUACACAGUUUCAUUAUUUGAAUAAUGAAAAUCAAUGUGUGUGAAAAACUAAGUAAACUGUAUGACUCUGUAGCUGCCUGAAGUGAUAGUUUUUUGUGUGUCUCUCACAUCACUGUGAAGGGAUUUUGCUGCUGUACUCCUUCAAUUAAUUGUGGUUUUCUUGCAUUUAUUUAUGCACAGCUCUAUUAAGGUCCCACCACGGUGUUUCAGUCAGGUUGAGGUCCAGACUUUGACUGGGCCGUUGCAACACCUUGAUUCUUUUCUUUUUCAGCCAUUCUGUUGUAGAUUAGCUGGUGUGUUUGGUUUCAUUGUUCUGUUGCACGGCUCGAUUUAGGCAAAGCUUUAGCUGUUGGACAACAGCCUAACAUUUGACUCUAGAACACUUUGGUAUACAGAGGACUUCACGGUCAUCUCAAUGACUGGAAGGUGUCCAGGUCCAAGGCUGCAAAACAAUUCCAAAUCAUCACCCCUGUGCUUUACAGUUAGUAUGAAGUGUUUGUGCUCAUAUGCUGUGUUUGGUAAUCUAAAAUUAGAUUGCCAAGCAUGCCAACACUGUCACUAAAACCUGCCACAAAUAUUGUCAGACCGAGUCAGUCUGUUGGCAUACGGUCUGUUAAUUGUAUGCAGUUCACAUAUCUCUUCCUGUCUACAUAGACAGAAAUUUACAUUUAACUAUUACAACCUUCCUGGUCUUUGGGAUAUAACCUCGAGUUGUGUUCACUGACAAAGACGCAUUCAGACUCAUGGCAACAUGCUGGCAAUCUGUCUGCAUUUAUUAAUUAGACAGCAUAAUCUCAGAGUGGUUGCAGUCUUUCAGGGUCAGACUGGGACUGUUUGCAGAAAGGUUGCCUCCUAUCAGGUGAAAUGAGUCCUCUGGGGUGAGUUUCCUGCUCCUGGAAAGAUUACAUCUAUCUUGUUUUCCACUUGUGAAUAAUCUUUCUUACUGCAGAAUGAUGGACCAGAUUAUUUGGAGAUCAGUCUACAACCAAUCCCAGAUGGCCAUCAAGAAUUGCUAAUCUAAGAUCUUUGUUGAUGUCUUUCCUCUUUGUCUUCCUCCUUAACACACACUUAAAUGCUACAGACUAGAGCAUUUCUUCUGUAUUCAUAGAGGUACUAACAGUUUCUGAUGAUCAGCUGAUCAAGUGCAUUGGAUUAACAGCACCUUGCUGCUACUUACUGUCUUAAUUCCAAUAUUAUGUAUGGUUGCACUUGUUUGUAGUUUUUACACACACUGUUUUUUGCCAUAAUGUUUAUAAAUAAAUAAUAACACAGUGUAAUGCUUCAUGUGUUGUUGCCUAGUGGAGGGUGUAUACUUGAAUCCUUAAAACUGAAAGAAGAUUUUUAAAGAUUUAUUUUUAAUCUAUUUACAAGCCUGAUUUUGUCUUUGGUCUGACAUCAUACUACCAAUAAAUAACAUUGAUUGGUG